GCAAACUUGUUAGGUUUUCUAAAUAGUACAACUAAAUAAAAUAAAUAUAAUAAAUAAGAUAAUACAUAUUUUAAAAAAAUAAAUAAAAUCAUAAAUAAAAUCGCAGCCUUUUGCGGUUAUACAAUUGCAAAGGCUGAUAUUUCGAUUGGAUUAAUCGUGCAGCACUAGACAACAUGACCUCUGACGGCAUUGAGUAGUGGCGACCACUUGCCUAUGUUGUAGAUGAGUGACGGUAUGGGGUAGUAGCGACCACUUGCCUAUGUUGUAGAUGAGUGAAG
ensembl:lncRNA